rnacentral:tRNA from 3 species
GGGUGCAUAGCUCAGUUGGUUAGAGCGCGUCUCUGAUAAGGACGAGGUCCGUGGUUCAACUCCACGUGCACCCACCA